GGCCAAGUUUUUAAGGGCGCACGGUGGAUGCCUUGGCACCAGGAACCGAUGAAGGACGUGGGAGGCCGCGAUAGGCCCCGGGGAGCUGUCAACCGAGCUUUGAUCCGGGGGUGUCCGAAUGGGGAAACCCGGCAGUCGUCAUGGGCUGUCACCCAUACCUGAACACAUAGGGUAUGUGGAGGGAACGCGGGGAAGUGAAACAUCUCAGUACCCGCAGGAAGAGAAAACAACCGUGAUUCCGGGAGUAGUGGCGAGCGAAACUGGAUGAGGCUAAACCGUAUGUGUGUGAUACCCGGCAGGGGUUGCGCAUGCGGGGUUGUGGGAGUGCUCUUGAUCGGUCUGCCGGCUGGUCGGUGAGUCAGAAAUUGUUGAUGUAGGCGAAGGGCAUGCGAAAGGCCCGGCGUAGAGGGUAAGACCCCCGUAGCUGAAAUGUCAGCAACUUGCUUGAGUAUUUCCCAAGUAGCACGGGGCCCGAGAAAUCCCGUGUGAAUCUGGCGGGACCACCCGCUAAGCCUAAAUAUUCCCUGGUGACCGAUAGCGGAUAGUACCGUGAGGGAAUGGUGAAAAGUACCGCGGGAGCGGAGUGAAAUAGUACCUGAAACCGUGUGCCUACAAGCCGUGGGAGCGUCGGACAUCAGC
rnacentral:rRNA from 1 species